rfam:Caenorhabditis briggsae complete genome, chrV
AAAGCUGAGGUAGGUGUGAGAAAUGACGAAAGGCUCUUAAUCGUUUCAUUGUCUCGCAGCUGCUUCAACUGUG